UGAAGGCAUCACUGACAUAGCUAGCUUAUCAUGUAGCUAGUGAGCUUUUUCCUUCCUCCUCUGUUCCUAAGCAACAUUCCCCUCCGUGGUGAGACUGAGGACUCCAGUGGGAUGCCCAUGUUUCUCCAUUUCUGCUGGAUGUGAAGAUCUAAAUCAUGACUGCGCAGUCUUGGACCAUCUCUCCCUCUCCGGACUUUCCUGCAGGAAACGCUGGAGGAAGAAGCUGACAGCCAGAACAGGUGGAAGGUCUCUUGUCUGUGGAAACUCCAUAAAUCAAUCCAACGCUUGUCUCGAUUGGUCCAGCAGCUCGGAGAACGGAAUGAGCUGUCGAACAGAGUAUGCAGUCUGGCACAGUUAUACAUCACAAACACUCCUCCUCUCGGCCCCUUGGUGGACACGCCUCCCUCCCUCUGGACGUCCAGUGUCACCUAAACAGACAGCUGUCAAUCAUUCUGACUCAACUGACCUCAAAGAGCAAACUGUCAUCAAUUUCUGGGACAGGACUGGUGUGGACCGUUGACAGCAGCUCAAAUCUGACAGUGGCAGAGGUCAUGACCCUGAUGAUGUCAUCCCACGUCUGACCUACAAGAGGACGAGGAGGAGGCGGUAUUUUAUUAGACAAAAAACGUCU